rnacentral:snoRNA from 1 species
CUGCCCGCCAUUGAUGACCGUUCCCGCCCCUGCGGGGGCCGGGAGGGAGAGAGCACGGGCUGAGUGGU